rnacentral:rRNA from 1 species
UACGGGGGGGAGCAAGCGUUGUUCGGAUUUACUGGGCGUAAAGGGCGCGUAGGCGGCCAGCACAAGUCAGUUGUGAAAUCUCCGAGCUUAACUCGGAAAGGUCAACUGAUACUGUGCGGCUAGAGUGCGGAAGGGGCAACUGGAAUUCUUGGUGUAGCGGUGGAAUGCGCAGAUAUCAGGAGGAACACCGGUGGCGAAGGCGGGGUCUCUGGGCAGUAACUGACGCUGAGGAGCGAAAGUGUGGGGGAGCGAACAGGA